UACGUAGGGGGCGAGCGUUGUCCGGAUUUAUUGGGCGUAAAGAGCGCGUAGGCGGCCCGGAAAGUCGGAUGUGAAAACCCGGGGCUCAACCCCGGGCCUGCAUCCGAUACUCCCGGGCUGGAGGCAGGUAGGGGAGAUCGGAAUUCCUGGUGUAGCGGUGAAAUGCGCAGAUAUCAGGAGGAACACCGGUGGCGAAGGCGGAUCUCUGGGCCUGUCCUGACGCUGAGGCGCGAAAGCUAGGGGAGCAAACGGG
rnacentral:rRNA from 1 species